GUACACUCCUGCGGGAGGCAGCAGUGGGGAAUAUUGGACAAUGGGCGCAAGCCUGAUCCAGCCAUGCCGCGUGAGUGAUGAAGGCCCUAGGGUUGUAAAGCUCUUUUGUGCGGGAAGAUAAUGACGGUACCGCAAGAAUAAGCCCCGGCUAACUUCGUGCCAGCAGCCGCGGUAAUACGAAGGGGGCUAGCGUUGCUCGGAAUCACUGGGCGUAAAGGGUGCGUAGGCGGGUCUUUAAGUCAGGGGUGAAAUCCUGGAGCUCAACUCCAGAACUGCCUUUGAUACUGAAGAUCUUGAGUUCGGGAGAGGUGAGUGGAACUGCGAGUGUAGAGGUGAAAUUCGUAGAUAUUCGCAAGAACACCAGUGGCGAAGGCGGCUCACUGGCCCGAUACUGACGCUGAGGCACGAAAGCGUGGGGAGCAAACAGGAUUAGAUACCCCGGUAGUCCCAUG
rnacentral:rRNA from 1 species